GACAUGAUAACAACCUUUAACAUCUCUUUAGUAGCACAUGGAACAGUAGCAGAGAACAUCGAGUAUGAGAAGGAAUUGUGCAAUCCAUAUUCUGUUCCAAUUAGUAUGGGUAUCUUCAAAGUAUUGGAAAGCCCUCUGGAUAUUACAACUACCACAAUAAUUAGGAGGAUUGUAGCAAAUCAUGAAGCAUACCAGAAACGUAAUGAGAAGAACAGAAAGUGAGAAAAGGUAUUAUGAAGAUAAGACGUACGUAUCUGGUGAUUGAGCUGAGAUCGGACCACACGUGGACAGUUGGUGAUUGCUUUUAAUAUUUA
rnacentral:misc_RNA from 1 species